UAAUAAUACAUGCAUUAAACUUGAUUAAAAUGAUUUUUUGACAAUAUUUUUAUUAGGUAAGCAAAAAUAAAAAUUCAAUUAAAAUGUGUGCAAAAAAUCAAAUGUUGUAACCAAAUAUUUGGAGCGCUGUUUUUCAUAAAUAAAGCACGCGAAAGAGGAACAUCAUUGCUUCUGUAACCUUUUGCAUCGACUAGCUAAUUUUAUUCUAACAUCAUGAAGCAAAUGAUAUUCGUUUUCGCUUUUAUGCUGAUCGCAUACUGUUCGUGCGACACAAUACAAGAAUGGUGUUGGAAAGACAAUGUUCAUUUCCAAAAAAAAGGUACAGGCAAUGUAAUUGCCACAUUAUGGCUUGACGCUGGAGUUGACGCUGACUUAUCUCGAAAAUGCAUCGCAGAGUGCUACAAACGCCGUAACUGCAAGCAGAUUUCAUACAACCAUCAAGCACUUCAGCUUUCGCAUGAAUGUAUCUUGUACAGCUCUGCAGGUGGAAGGUUUGAUCAAGAAUGGAAAACCAUCCAAUGCCCAUACUGUCCUGACUGCUAAACUACCUUAUGUUAUGUUUUUGUGAUUUUAAAAAUAAAUAGCAACUGAUUUGAUUUA